GCUCCAGCAUGGCUGCCUUAGGGACCUGGCUAUCCAGUGAGUGAUUGUGAGGUUGGGAACCCGGGGGCCGCGGGGCAACAGACCUCUAACUCGCUACUCUUCCAGUAGGUGUCCGGAGGUUGCACAGUAGUGCAGUGGCGCGGGCCGGCAGCCAGUGGCGACUCCAGCAAGGGCUGGCUGCCAAUCCUUCCGGCUAUGGGCCCCUCACGGAGCUUCCUGACUGGUCUUUCGCGGAUGGCCGCCCUGCUCCCCCAAUGAAAGGCCAACUUCGAAGAGAAGCUCAAAGGGAGAAGCUUGCAAGACGAGUUGUGCUGCUGACACAGGAAAUGGAUGCAGGAUUACAGGCAUGGAAGCUCAGGCAGCAGAAACUGCAGGAAGAAAGGAAGCAGAAACAUGACCUUAAACCUAAAGGGACGUCACUGAGGAACCCACUUCCAAAUCAAUAAAAAGCUCCUGUCCCACUUUCCCAGCCUCUCUGGCUUCCUUUUCUACAUCUGAAUAUUUGUUUGUUUGUUUGUUUUCUUUUUUCUUUUUUUCGGAGCUGGGGACCGAACCCAGGCCCUUGCGCUUCCUAGGCAAGCGCUCUACCACUGAGCUAAAUCCCCAACCCCACAUCUGAAUGUUUUAUCCCUGGUAGACCGAAGUCAUUUUUCUCCCGCCAUUUGUAUUGAUAGCAAAAGACCUCAGGCACCGGGAGGAACUUAAAACCACUGCCUGCCAGGCUUGGCAAAAUGCUUUAGUCCUCGCUCCGUUCCAGUUCAGCCAGAUCUUGCUCUGGAAUUAUUUCGCCCCUGGUGCUGAAGAACGCGCCCAGAGCCUUACAAAAGCUAAGCUCGCCACCACCCUCCCACUUAGCAUGCUUGGGAUUUUAAUCCUCUUCCUUGCUGGUCCGAGGGCUAACCCAGCUAAGAGCAGCAACUGCUCUGUGAGAGAAGAUAAGGGGCAGCAGCAGCUUUCCUGGUUUUCCCCCUCAUGCCUCUGUCACUCACAGCCCAUACACAGCUCAGAUGCUUACAGUUGGCACUCAAUAAAUGUUCUGUUGAAAAGGCU
rnacentral:lncRNA from 1 species